rnacentral:rRNA from 1 species
UACGUAGGUGGCAAGCGUUGUCCGGAUUUACUGGGUUUAAAGGGUGUGUAGGCGGGCUUUUAAGUCAGUGGUGAAAUCUCCGGGCUCAACCCGGAAACUGCCAUUGAUACUAUUAGUCUUGAAUUUUGUUGAGGUAGGCGGAAUAAGUCAUGUAGCGGUGAAAUGCUUAGAUAUGACUUAGAACACCAAUUGCGAAGGCAGCUUGCUAAACAAAUAUUGACGCUGAGGCACGAAAGCGUGGGGAUCAAACAGG